rnacentral:rRNA from 1 species
CAGUCGCCGCGGGAAUACGGAGGGAGCUAGCGUUGUUCGGAAUUACUGGGCGUAAAGCGCACGUAGGCGGCUUUGUAAGUUAGAGGUGAAAGCCUGGAGCUCAACUCCAGAAUUGCCUUUAAGACUGCAUCGCUUGAAUCCAGGAGAGGUGAGUGGAAUUCCGAGUGUAGAGGUGAAAUUCGUAGAUAUUCGGAAGAACACCAGUGGCGAAGGCGACUGACUGGACAAGUAUUGACGCUGAGGUGCGAAAGCGUGGGGAGCAAACAGGAUUAGAUACCCGCGUAGUCCCUGUCUCUUAUAC